rnacentral:ncRNA from 2 species
UAUAGUACCCGUCUUGAACACGGAUUAGGGAGUUUAUCUGUAGUGCGAGUCUUUGCACGUUAACUGUAAAGGCGUAGAGAAAGCAACUGGCGUUUGCAUGGCUACUGAGCAUUACUGAUAGGACCCGAAAGGUGGUGAACUUUGCCUGCACAGGUUGAAGUCAGGGGAAACUCUGAUGGAGGACCGUACGGGUUAUUGAUGUGCAAAUCAUUUUUCUGAUGUAGGUAAAGGUGCGAAAGACUCAUCGAACCACCUAAUAGCUGGUUUCCUCCGAAGUUUCCCUCAGGAUAGCUGUAAUGCAUUUAGUUAAGGGGAGUAGAGAUAUGGGUAGAGGUGCAGGGAGCCUUCGGGUUCUCAACUUAUUUCCAAACUUCGAACCUCCUUGUUAGGCAUUUACCUAACUGGAAAUGCUUAAAUGAAUUAGCGUUACAAGUGGGCUCUGACCGGUAAGCGGUCAUGGCGAAAUGGGAUGAACCAUACGUCUGAAUAAGGUGCCGAAAUGUACUAUCACUGAUACCAUAAAGGGAGUCCAUGUAUUUAGACAGCAGGUCGGUGCCCCUAAAAGCAGGUAUCCGCUAAAGAGUGUGUUAAAACUCACCUGCCGAAUACUAGGGCCCCGAAAAUGAAUGGCGCAUAUAGUACUACCGAUCUCAGACAUCAGUUCUAUUGAACUGAGAGUAGGGGGAUGUGGACAUUUUUGUGAAGGUGCAAUGUGAGUUGGACUGGAAGAAUGUCUAUUACAGAUCCUAAUUGAAGUAGCGAUUAUCCAGGCUUGUAUCCUGGGGGCUGAUGAGGAGUAGGGUUUCUGGACAACUUAAACAGAUCCAGAGUUAGUCGAUCCUAAUCUCAAUAAUGGGAGAAAGGGAGUACAGUUGAUAUUCUGUAACUGACAACAGUUCGCGGCAACGCAUACUAUUUUUCUCCGCCAAUCUUAUACCGUUGGGUAGGGAUCUCUUUCCUACAUGACAGUACUAAUACCCAGGGAAACUGGUCAUCAGCGAACUGCGGCGUUCUGCUGGCAAAACAUAGCUU